rnacentral:rRNA from 1 species
UGCAAGUCACGGGGGUCCCGGGGGCAACUCUGGGAUAACCGGCGAACGGGUGCGUAACACGUGAACAACCUGCCCUCGUGUGGGGGAUAGCCGGGCUAACGCCCGGGUAAUACCGCAUACGUUCUCUUGGAGGAGUCUCUGGGAGAGGAAAGCUCCGGCGCACGGGGAGGGGUUCGCGGCCUAUCAGCUAGUUGGCGGGGUAAUGGCCCACCAAGGCGACGACGGGUAGCUGGUCUGAGAGGAUGGCCAGCCACAUUGGGACUGAGAGACGGCCCAGACUCCUACGGGAGGCAGCAGUGGGGAAUCUUGCGCAAUGGUCGAAAGACUGACGCAGCGACGCCGCGUGUGGGAGGACGCCUUUCGGGGUGUAAACCACUGUUGCCCGGGACGAACAGCCUUUUUCGAGAGGUCUGACGGUACCGGGUGAGGAAGCACCGGCUAACUCCGUGCCAGCAGCCGCGGUAAUACGGAGGGUGCGAGCGUUGUCCGGAAUCAUUGGGCGUAAAGGGCGCGUAGGUGGCCCGGUCAGUUCGUGGUGAAAGCGCGGGGCUCAACCCUGCGUCGGCCAUGAAUACUGCCGCGGCUGGAGCACUGUAGAGGCAGGCGGAAUUCCGGGUGUAGCGGUGGAAUGCGUAGAGAUCCGGAAGAACACCGGUGGCGAAGGCGGCCUGCUGGGCAGUUGCUGACACUGAGGCGCGACAGCGUGGGGAGCAAACAGGAUUAGAUACCCUGGUAGUCCACGCCGUAAACGAUGGGCACUAGGCGCUUGGGGGAGCGACCCCCCGAGGGCCGGCGCUAACGCAUUAAGUGCCCCGCCUGGGGAGUACGGCCGCAAGGCUGAAACUCAAAGGAAUUGACGGGGGCCCGCACAAGCGGUGGAGCAUGUGGUUUAAUUCGACGCAACGCGAAGAACCUUACCUAGNCUUGACNUACNUGGGAAACGCCUCANAACGGGGCGCCCUCUU